AUUGAACGCUGGCGGCGUGCUUAACACAUGCAAGUCGAGCGGUAAGGCCCUUUCGGGGUACGACGAGCGGCGAACGGGUGAGUAACACGUGGGUGACCUGCCCUCAGCUCUGGGAUAAGCCGUGGGAAACCGGGUCUAAUACUGGAUAUGACUCCAUGACGCAUGGUUGUAGGGGUGGAAAGCCUUGUGCGGCUGAGGAUGGGCCCGCGGCCUAUCAGCUUGUUGGU
rnacentral:rRNA from 1 species